UGCAGUCGAACGAUGAACUGGAGCUUGCUCCAGGGAUUAGUGGCGAACGGGUGAGUAACACGUGAGUAACCUGCCCUUGACUCUGGGAUAAGCGCUGGAAACGGCGUCUAAUACCGGAUACGAGCUUCAGCCGCAUGGCUAGGAGUUGGAAAGAAUUUCGGUCAAGGAUGGACUCGCGGCCUAUCAGCUAGUUGGUGAGGUAAUGGCUCACCAAGGCGACGACGGGUAGCCGGCCUGAGAGGGUGACCGGCCACACUGGGACUGAGACACGGCCCAGACUCCUACGGGAGGCAGCAGUGGGGAAUAUUGCACAAUGGGCGCAAGCCUGAUGCAGCAACGCCGCGUGAGGGAUGACGGCCUUCGGGUUGUAAACCUCUUUUAGUAGGGAAGAAGCGAAAGUGACGGUACCUGCAGAAAAAGCACCGGCUAACUACGUGCCAGCAGCCGCGGUAAUACGUAGGGUGCAAGCGUUGUCCGGAAUUAUUGGGCGUAAAGAGCUCGUAGGCGGUUUGUCGCGUCUGCUGUGAAAUCUGGGGGCUCAACCCCCAGCCUGCAGUGGGUACGGGCAGACUAGAGUGCGGUAGGGGAGAUUGGAAUUCCUGGUGUAGCGGUGGAAUGCGCAGAUAUCAGGAGGAACACCGAUGGCGAAGGCAGAUCUCUGGGCCGUAACUGACGCUGAGGAGCGAAAGCAUGGGGAGCGAACAGGAUUAGAUACCCUGGUAGUCCAUGCCGUAAACGUUGGGAACUAGAUGUGGGGGCCAUUCCACGGUCUCCGUGUCGCAGCUAACGCAUUAAGUUCCCCGCCUGGGGAGUACGGCCGCAAGGCUAAAACUCAAAGGAAUUGACGGGGGCCCGCACAAGCGGCGGAGCAUGCGGAUUAAUUCGAUGCAACGCGAAGAACCUUACCAAGGCUUGACAUAUACCGGGAAACGUCCAGAGAUGGUCGCCCCGCAAGGUCGGUAUACAGGUGGGUGCAUGGGUUGUCGUCANGCUCGUGUCCGUGAGAAUGUUGGGGUUUAAGU
rnacentral:rRNA from 1 species